rnacentral:rRNA from 1 species
GACGAACGCUGGCGGCGUGCUUAACACAUGCAAGUCGAACGGAAAGGCCCUGCUUUUGUGGGGUGCUCGAGUGGCGAACGGGUGAGUAACACGUGAGUAACCUGCCCUUGACUUUGGGAUAACUUCAGGAAACUGGGGCUAAUACCGGAUAGGAGCUCCUGCUGCAUGGUGGGGGUUGGAAAGUUUCGGCGGUUGGGGAUGGACUCGCGGCUUAUCAGCUUGUUGGUGGGGUAGUGGCUUACCAAGGCUUUGACGGGUAGCCGGCCUGAGAGGGUGACCGGCCACCUUGGGCCUGAGAUACGGCCCAGACUCCUACGGGAGGCAGCAGUGGGGAAUCUUGCACAAUGGGCGGAAGCCUGAUGCAGCAACGCCGCGUUCGGGAUGACGGCCUUCGGGUUGUAAACCGCUUUCGCCUGUGACGAAGCGUGAGUGACGGUAAUGGGUAAAGAAGCACCGGCUAACUACGUG